GAUGAACGCUGGCGGCGUGCUUAACACAUGCAAGUCGAACGGAGAAGGCGGAGCUUGCUCUGCUGGAUCAGUGGCGAACGGGUGAGUAACACGUGAGCAAUCUGCCCCUGACUCUGGGAUAAGCGCUGGAAACGGCGUCUAAUACUGGAUACGAGCUGCGAAGGCAUCUUCAGCAGCUGGAAAGAAUUUCGGUCAGGGAUGAGCUCGCGGCCUAUCAGCUUGUUGGUGAGGUAAUGGCUCACCAAGGCGUCGACGGGUAGCCGGCCUGAGAGGGUGACCGGCCACACUGGGACUGAGACACGGCCCAGACUCCUACGGGAGGCAGCAGUGGGGAAUAUUGCACAAUGGGCGAAAGCCUGAUGCAGCAACGCCGCGUGAGGGACGACGGCCUUCGGGUUGUAAACCUCUUUUAGCAGGGAAGAAGCGAAAGUGACGGUACCUGCAGAAAAAGCGCCGGCUAACUACGUG
rnacentral:rRNA from 1 species